rnacentral:misc_RNA from 1 species
GAACUGCGAUAAGUAAUGUGAAUUGCAGAAUUCAGUGAAUCAUCGAGUCUUUGAACGCACAUUGCGCCCUGGCAUUCCGGGGGGCAUGCCUGUCCGAGCGUCAUUGCUGCCCUUCAAGCCCGGCUUGUGUGUUGGGUCGUCGUCCCCUCCGGGGGACGGGCCCGAAAGGCAGCGGCGGCACCGCGUCCGGUCCUCGAGCGUAUGGGGCUUUGUCACCCGCUCGAUAAGGACCGGCCGGGCGCCAGCCGGCGUCUCCAACCUUUUUUUCUCAGGUUGACCUCGGAUCAGGUAGGGAUACCCGCUGAACUUAAGC